UCUGGCUUCUGCUUUCCUCCCAGU
rnacentral:miRNA from 1 species